AGAUGUUAGAGCAGCGUAUUUUACAGGC
rnacentral:piRNA from 1 species